CACCUGUCCAGUAGGGGGCGAUGAUAACUAGCAUUGGGAAAUAACAGGAAGCAUUGCGCAGGAAUUUAAUCCGUCGAGCAUGUGAAACAGCUGAGUACAUCAAACCUGUAGCGGACAAUGACAAAUGAUGAAGCUACCUGCAAUGGAUCACAUCUGGCCAAAGCUGUGUUUGCGCACUAGAAGUGCUUCCAAGGGCAUGAAUGCUGCACAAUGAACCACAGUGGUCUUAAAGUCUUCGAUGUGGGAUCAUUGGUUUAUACUCCCAUAAAGAUGAGCAGUGUGCCUUUUUCUCAACCGGCUACCAAUUUCAACGGUAAAAAAACAGGCUUAAGGUACUUGUGGUGUUUGGGGUCCCAUGCUAAAUGCCCUCCUGCCUAAGCUCACUGGCCUGGCUGACGGUCCUCGUGGUAAAAUGAAAGAAAUGAAAGCCUCAGUGGACAUAAUGCCUUGAGCCCAGAUGAUUCUGAACAGAACACUGAACUUCAUGUCUGGCCAUCUCUCUGUAAGACCACUGGACUUCCUUUAAGACAUUACACAGGGGGAGACACAACCAGUGAGUUGCGGUGGCGGUGUAAAAAUUUCCCAAAAUGCAAUGGUCAGAGAAAGGGAGUGCUGCCUCUCAGGCCUAGUGUUGACAGCCUGGGAUGACAUCACCAACAACUGCAAUGAGAUACCAGCAUAACAUAAAUAAUAUUUUUGUUGACAUUUGACAUAAAUCAGAUAAGAAGGACUGUACUGUAACUCAUGGCUAAGCUGAGAUAUCAUCACUGUCUCACUGACACUCUACAGUAUGAGCCUGACACGACAUCUGUCGCCCAUGAACCAACAGAGAUAGAUGAAGACAUACACUACAGUAUAAAUGAGACCAAAUGUUUUGUAAUCCAUAUUUUUUAUGGAAAAUUGUAACUUUCUUUUAUAUUUUAUUUUAUUUAUUUUUUUGUUUCGUUUUCUUUCACCAUGAAGGUUCCAUAUUUCCUGGUCAGUAAUGGCUACAUGAAGUUUCACAUUAAAGCACAAACACACAAUUAAAACAACAA